rnacentral:rRNA from 1 species
CCUACGGGAGGCAGCAGUGAGGAAUAUUGGGCAAUGGGCGCAAGCCUGACCCAGCAACGCCGCGUGAAGGACGAAGGCUUUCGGGUUGUAAACUUCUUUUGUCAGGGAAGAGUAGAAGACGGUACCUGACGAAUAAGCCACGGCUAACUACGUGCCAGCAGCCGCGGUAAUACGUAGGUGGCAAGCGUUGUCCGGAUUUACUGGGUGUAAAGGGCGUGUAGCCGGGUUGACAAGUCAGAUGUGAAAUCCUGCGGCUUAACCGAAGAACUGCAUUUGAAACUGUUGAUCUUGAGUACUGGAGAGGCAGACGGAAUUCCUGGUGGAGCGGUGAAAUGCGUAGAUAUUAGGAGGAACACCAGUUGCGAAGGCGGUCUGCUGGACAGCAACUGACGGUGAGGCGCGAAAGCGUGGGGAGCAAACAGGAUUAGAUACCCGUGUAGUC